rnacentral:rRNA from 2 species
GUUAUAUGGUCAAGCGAAUAAGCGCACACGGUGGAUGCCUAGGCGGUCAGAGGCGAUGAAGGACGUGGUAGCCUGCGAAAAGUGUCGGGGAGCUGGCAACAAGCUUUGAUCCGGCAAUAUCCGAAUGGGGAAACCCACUGCUUCGGCAGUAUCCUGCAGUGAAUUCAUAGCUGCUGGAAGCGAACCCGGUGAACUGAAAUAUCUAAGUAACCGGAGGAAAAGAAAUCAACCGAGAUUCCCUAAGUAGUGACGAGCGAACGGGGAGCAGCCCUUAAGCUGGAAUGGCUUUAGAAAAACAAUCUGGAAAGAUUGGCCAUAGAAGGUGAUAGCCCUGUAUUUAAAAGGGCCACUCCAGUGAAGACGAGUAGGGCGGGGCACGUGAAACCCUGUCUGAAUAUGGGGGGACCAUCCUCCAAGGCUAAAUACUCCUGACCGACCGAUAGUGAACCAGUACCGUGAGGGAAAGGCGAAAAGAACCCCGGAGAGGGGAGUGAAAUAGAUCCUGAAACCGUGUGCGUACAAGCAGUAGGAGCUCGCAAGAGUGACUGCGUACCUUUUGUAUAAUGGGUCAGCGACUUACUGUUCGUGGCAAGCUUAACCGUAUAGGGGAGGCGAAGGGAAACCGAGUCUGAUAAGGGCGCAUAGUCGCGGGCAGUAGACCCGAAACCGGGUGAUCUAGUCAUGGCCAGGGUGAAGGUGCCGUAACAGGUACUGGAGGCCCGAACCCACGUCUGUUGCAAAAGACGGGGAUGAGCUGUGAUUAGGAGUGAAAAGCUAAUCGAACCCGGAGAUAGCUGGUUCUCCUCGAAAGCUAUUUAGGUAGCGCCUCAUAUGUAUCCUCUCGGGGGUAGAGCACUGUUAUGGCUAGGGGGUCAUCGCGACUUACCAAACCAUUGCAAACUCCGAAUACCGAGACGGACUGUAUGGGAGACACACGGCGGGUGCUAACGUCCGUCGUGAAAAGGGAAACAACCCAGACCCACAGCUAAGGUCCCAAAUUCACUGCUAAGUGGAAAACGAUGUGGAAAGGCAUAGACAGCCAGGAGGUUGGCUUAGAAGCAGCCACCCUUUAAAGAAAGCGUAAUAGCUCACUGGUCGAGUCGGUCUGCGCGGAAGAUUUAACGGGGCUAAGCAGUGAACCGAAGCUUGGGGUGCAUAAAACUUGUUUUAUGCGCGGUAGAGGAGCGUUCCGUAAGCCUGCGAAGGUGGAUUGAGAAGUCUGCUGGAGGUAUCGGAAGUGCGAAUGCUGACAUGAGUAACGAUAAUGCGGGUGAAAAGCCCGCACGCCGAAAGCCCAAGGUUUCCUUGCGCAACGUUAAUCGACGCAGGGUUAGUCGGUCCCUAAGGCGAGGGCGAAAGCCGUAGUCGAUGGGAAGCAGGUUAAUAUUCCUGCACCUCGCGUGAGUGCGAUGGAGGGACGGAGAAGGUUAGGUGUACCGGGCGUUGGUUGUCCCGGGGAAAGGCGGUAGGUUUGGAUCUUUGGCAAAUCCGGGAUCCUUUAAGACCGAGCACCGAGACGAGCCUUUAUGGCGAAGUCACUGAUACCACGCUUCCAGGAAAAGCUCCUAAGCUUCAGCUCACGAAGACCGUACCGUAAACCGACACAGGUGGGUAGGAUGAGAAUUCUCAGGCGCUUGAGAGAACUCGGGUGAAGGAACUAGGCAACAUGGCACCGUAACUUCGGGAGAAGGUGCACCCUUUUUGGUGGCUCGUGCGAGCUAUAGCUGAAGAGGGUCGCAGAAACCAGGCCGCUGCGACUGUUUAUCAAAAACACAGCACUCUGCAAACACGAAAGUGGACGUAUAGGGUGUGACGCCUGCCCGGUGCUGGAAGGUUAAUUGAUGGGGUCAGCCGCAAGGCGAAGCUCUUGAUCGAAGCCCCAGUAAACGGCGGCCGUAACUAUAACGGUCCUAAGGUAGCGAAAUUCCUUGUCGGGUAAGUUCCGACCUGCACGAAUGGCGUAACGACAGCGGCGCUGUCUCCACCCGAGACUCAGUGAAAUUGAAAUCGCUGUGAAGAUGCAGCGUUCCCGUGGCAAGACGGAAAGACCCCGUGAACCUUUACUAUAGCUUUACACUGAACGUUGAGUUCGUCUGUGUAGGAUAGGUGGGAGGCUAUGAAACUGUGGCGCUAGCUGCAGUGGAGCCAUCCUUGAAAUACCACCCUGUCGUGCUUGACGUUCUAACCUAGGUCCGUUAUCCGGAUCAGGGACCGUGUAUGGUGGGUAGUUUGACUGGGGCGGUCUCCUCCUAAAGAGUAACGGAGGAGCACGAAGGUACGCUCAGCGCGGUCGGACAUCGCGCACUGUGUGCAAAGGCAUAAGCGUGCUUGACUGCAAGAUCGACGGAUCAAGCAGGUACGAAAGUAGGUCUUAGUGAUCCGGUGGUUCUGUAUGGAAGGGCCAUCGCUCAACGGAUAAAAGGUACUCCGGGGAUAACAGGCUGAUACCGCCCAAGAGUUCAUAUCGACGGCGGUGUUUGGCACCUCGAUGUCGGCUCAUCACAUCCUGGGGCUGUAGUCGGUCCCAAGGGUAUGGCUGUUCGCCAUUUAAAGUGGUACGCGAGCUGGGUUCAGAACGUCGUGAGACAGUUCGGUCCCUAUCUGCCAUGGGCGUUGGAAGUUUGAGAGGGGCUGCUCCUAGUACGAGAGGACCGGAGUGGACGAACCUCUGGUGUUCCGGUUGUCACGCCAGUGGCAUUGCCGGGUAGCUAUGUUCGGAAGCGAUAACCGCUGAAAGCAUCUAAGCGGGAAGCGCGCCUCAAGAUGAGACUUCCCGGGGCACAAGCCCCCUAAAGGAACCAUGUAGACUACGUGGUUGAUAGGUCAGGUGUGUAAGUACAGCAAUGUAUUGAGCUAACUGAUACUAAUGAUCCGUGCGGCUUGACCAUAUAACCU